UAAGUCAGUGGGGCUGGGAAUUUGCAGACACAAUUCUGUUGAUGGAAAAACAUACCAACCAGCAAACUUUGUAAGCCUAUGUGGGAAACAGGGCCUGCACUAUCACUGAAGGGAAUUAAAAUUGCCUGCCAUAGAAGACUACAAAGUACACUAAUAAGGAGUCCUGUGUACUGGGUAAUUGGCAAAGGAAGUUUAAGUCUUAUUAGGGUAGGGUGUAUUGAUCUAUAGAUGCCUUGUGAGGUUAGAUUUUGUCCUAACUGUGACAGUCUAUUGUUAGAGUUAAGUGCAAUGCUCCAGGCAAUGAUAGAAUAACUAGCACUAGAUCAGACUUCAUGUCACCAGUACUUUAAAAUGUAGAUAAGAGAAAUAUAAUAAUUGUUUCUAUUUUAAACAUGGG